GUUAACACAGAAAUCAGCCUCCCAGGCCAUGUUGGAUUUAAGGUCUGCUUCUUCUGUUUUGCCCCAGAAGAAGAUAAAUGGACCAGUCCUCAUAGUGAAUGACCUCCCCUUCCUGACCAACAGAUGGGAGAGUAACUGGGAUCUGUCCAACACUGGCCUCUGAGCUUAAUAAACCAGCUGAAUGAAGCAAGGUAACAGCCUCCUGGGAAGGACUUUGAAGUCUGCAGUGUGGGGGGGAGGGGCUUGGACACACCCCUUCCCCCAGACUCCUCCCCCUCAAGGUCCACUCAGCCAUGGACUUUGGACCUGGAUAAGAAAAGCUGCACAUUUUUUGGUGGAUCUGACUUGGAUUCUCAGUUUUGGAAAUGUAAUACUGGAGGAUGGGGGUUUGAUGGUCUCCAAGGGAGCGACUGAGAGGAGAAAGUAUAUGGAAAGUGGUUUUAUUAUAGAGAUGGCAGUGUUGGUUCAGCAUUGGAAGAUCCACCCCCAAAAGU
rnacentral:lncRNA from 1 species